rnacentral:rRNA from 1 species
CAGCCGCCACGGUAAUACGAAGGGGGCUAGCGUUGCUCGGAAUUACUGGGCGUAAAGGGAGCGUAGGCGGGUCGUUAAGUUGGGGGUGAAAGCCCGGGGCUCAACCUCGGAAUUGCCUUCAAAACUGGCGACCUUGAGUAUGGGAGAGGUGAGUGGAACUCCGAGUGUAGAGGUGAAAUUCGUAGAUAUUCGGAAGAACACCAGUGGCGAAGGCGACUCACUGGCCCAUUACUGACGCUGAGGCUCGAAAGCGUGGGGAGCAAACAGGAUUAGAUACCCGCGUAGUCCCUGUCUCUUAUAC